GGGCCCCGAGCGGAUUUCCACGCGGAGAGGGUGUUGGCAGUCCCGGCGACCUGCCGAGACACAGCGGGAUCCACCUUCCAAUGAGAGGCCUGAGGGUUAGAGAGGUUGCAGAUGUGCCCAGGUGCCCACAGCUGGUUCAUGGUGGGAACCUGCAAUGGCAUAGCCUGUAGGCAGGAGGGUGCCACACCAGCGUGGAGAGGACCUCUGGGGUGUUGCUGGAGACCACAGGUGGAGUGAAGUCCUCACUCAGUGUGUGGAUGUGGGGUUGGAGACACAGCUGGAGGUCACAUGCCAGGCUCGCCUCCCUUCCCUGCCCCCAGCAGAUUCUGAGUUGCUGGGCCUGAUCUUUGGACCAGAAAGGAAUGAAAAAGUUGCCCCUUACGAUGGCUGUGCCUUGUCAGUUGCUUGAAGCUGCGUUCAGGGAUUUCCUGAGCCUUAUGGAUUUACAGUGACAUUCAGCUGCCCAAGAAUGACGGCGGAGGAAGCAUGGUCUGGAAUCACACGCACCUGGCACAUGUUUGGAUGUUAAUGGCAGUUUUCAGGAAGACCAUGGCUGAUUGCCUGGCAGAUCCCUGCACCUGGACACCUGUGGGGGACAGAGGACCGUGGCUUCCUGUGAUGCCUGGGAUCUCUGCCCUGUGUCUGCACGAGCAUGGCUUGGGUCACUACCAGCCUCACUGAGGGUGCCUGUGAAAGAAUCCCAUCAUACCUUGGAUUUUGGCGCUGUCAGUCUGAAAAGCAGAUGUACCUGUUUGGUACUCUAGAGGGAAUGUCCUUCCCUGAAUGAAAAAAGCUGGGCCAUUUGGGGAUUUGGAGAAUAAAGGUUGUCAGGCUGUGAUUUCAGCGGAGUCCUGAGCUCCUGUGGAGAUUUGCCUCUAUCCAGCCUUGGGCUAUCUGCAUUCCUGAACAUCUCUGGGCCCAGAAGGAAAAGAAGAAUGCUGACCAGCUCUGGAGAUGGCCUGAAUGAGGAGAGAUGCCCCCCACCCAUCCUCCACCUUGUCCUGGCACAGAGAGGCUGUCCUAUGUGGGUGCAACAGGAUGGAUGCCACACGGGGCUCCUGGGCCCUGUUUGGGAGAUGGAACAACCAGGUCCAGUGCUUUCCUCCCCCAUCAUCAAAUUAACACGUGGACUCUGUGGCCGUGGCCUUCAGCCUCCAGUCCACAAAGGACAAGAGACAUGGAGCAGAUUCUGAAUUCACAGCUCGUAUGGAGUGGAGUGCGGACAUGCCCGCCUGGUACCAGCCAGCCCCCAGCUGACAGCAGACAUGUGAGAAGUCCAGCUCGGGUCUCCCUGGGUUAAAAUCAAGGAACACAGGCCUGCCUCCUUCUGCGGCUCCGGGGGAUAAGUGUUCUUGCUUCUCAGAGCCGGUGACCUAACCCCGUCUGUGCCUUUCUUGCAUAGUCACGUCUAACCCUGACUGCUUCUCUCUUCUGCCUCCCUCUCCCAUUUUUGGAUUCUUCUGAUUAUAUUGGGCCCACAGAAAUCAUGCACGAUAAUCUUUCUAUUUUAACGUCGCCACAUUCACUUUCUUUUCCUCUGCCACUUGAAUCUGCAUUUGCCGGGCAACUUAAAUAGUCACAGGCUUCAGGGAUUAGGGUGUGGGCUGCUUCGGGAGGUGGCGAGUCUGCAAACCACUGCACGCCUGGCACUUACAAUGGGGCUUUUCGUGCUCCAAGGACUUUCUAUCCACUGGUAUGAUUGUCGGCCUUAGCGUUCCCAUUCGUGACGUGAGAUGAGAGGCGCUCUCAUCUGACGCCCACACGGGCUCCUCAGGCAGGCUUUGUUGGGCCGGGCAUGGAGAAAUAUUCCAUCCCUUGGUCCUAGGUGAGUGGAGACAGUGGGUUUAGGAGACAGGAAGGGGGUGAGGUCAGUUUCCUAACUGGCUUUGGAGCAGCCCAGAGGUUCUCCAGGGCGAUGAUAAUGCUCCUGAUUAAUUAUCGUUGCAAGUCUCCUGUUGUCCUCACUGUCCGUCAGCAUAGCCCCCUGCUCGGGACUGGCUGAGUGACCAGAAGGGCUGGGGGAAGUCGCGAGGGCCAGCCCCUAUCUCCACGUGCCCAGCUGGUUCCGUCCUCGCGCUCGACAGGUCCUUCUGAUCUUCCCACAUACAAUGGAUUACAGGGAAAAAGAAACUUCCUGGCCUGCCUGAUACCAGCUCGGAGGAAGUCACUGGCUUCAGUGGGACAAGGAAACAAACCCCAAUGACAGUGAUAACCUCUCGCCAGUCUUCUGCGUGAACGGAGAAGCUGCUGGGUGGCUGCAGGACACGUUCAGAGGUGUUGGUUGAGUGUGAGUUCUUACAAAAGGGGAGUUUGAAUUCAGUAUGUCAGCACAGAGUGGGAACAGGGUGGGACUAACCAGUAGGAGAGAUGCCCAGGCUUGGGGGUUCCUGGGUUUUGGAGGUUCCAUUGGAAACUUACUGUAUGGCCACCAGAAAGCAGGGACGGGCUCAGCCCCACAGUCUUUAUGGUGGCAAAGUGGUGUUCCCUGGGCGUCCCUCCGUCAAAAGUAGAUGCUAGGCAACGACUGGUGCGGCAUCCAAAGCCACAGAGAGUCAUGGACAGAAGUGGACGGUUCUUUGGACAUCACCAAGCUUGCUUUGGGGACACGAGGCCCAGAGAGGUGACAUACAGUCCACAGUCACACGGCUGUUUAGGAGUAAGCCAGGUCCUAGAACCAACCUCAGGUCCUUCCCUCCUUUUCCACGGGGCCUUCCAUGCUGCCAUCUUUGUUCCCGUCCCCUGUUGACGGAAGCACCUCCAGUCUGCCUCAGCCCUGCAGUUGCCCUCUCCUCCAAGCUAGUUCCAUGGCGGCUUCCAUGGCCAGCAGCCUUUUGCCACAUCUGUGAGGCAUCCUGCCGUUCCAUGUGACAGACUCUGACAGCAGGGCUCCUUUAUUUCGCUAUCUAUGCACUCCAUGGUGGUACAGCAUCACUGUGGGCCAGGAACGUGGGGUCCAGCUUUGCCAGGCAAAGAGGUUCAGGGUAGGGGGAAUGCAGUGUCAGGGUUUCUUUUGUCUGUCAGCUCAGUGGGCCAUGGUGUCCACCUCCAAGUGAGUGUGCACGCGCAUGCUAUGACUUCCCUUCCCUGGAGAAGCCUGAGUAGUACCCGCAGUGAGAACGAGACCGAUGUGGGUCCACGUCCAAGAACCACCACUGCCUGGGGAGGCUUAUUUGCUCGCAUCACCGGGCUUUAGUCUCUUUGUGGGUAAGUUGGAAAAAGUAUGAGCACAUGCUAGGCGAGCGAGCAGAGAUACAGACAAACAGGACAAUAAACACAGAGAGCUUCCUAGGCUGUCUGGCAUUGUGCUCAACAAAUAACGUUGCUCAUUGUAAAAUUGUACUUGUCUGAGAGCCCCAUAGGUACAUGACCCAGUUGUCUGUACGGCAAACCACCCCUGACCUUAGUGGCUUAAAACCAGGACCGUUUAUCCUUCUCAGUCUUGUAGGGUGGCUGAGCCCUGCCGGGAGUUUCUUCGGCCACACUCGGAGUCCGUGUGGCUGCGUUCCCGGGGGAGCUCUGUGAGGCUUCCCUCACACAGCUGGGGCCUCUGCUGGGAUGACGGCAGCACCUGGGGGCUCGCCCUUUCUCUGCCAUCUCGCCAUCGUCGUCCAGCCCGACGUUCUUGACACCGCGGCAGCUGGACCCCCCCGCCUGGUCUCCUGGGGCAAGGCGCAGAAUGCUCAGGACCUCACUCCCUUUCAGUUCUCCUGCUCAGGGGGUCCCAGGUCAGCCCAGAGUCCGGGGCAGGAGAAAUCAAGGCCGGCACGGGAUGGGGAAACAGCGCACGUGGACAGAAGUGGGAGGGGUUCUCGGCCACCCGCACUGGACACCCCAACCCCAGCGCGCAAGCUGCUUUCAGAGUUGAUGACUCUCAACUUCGAUGGCUCCCGUCCUGGCUUAUCUGUGAUCAUCUAGUGAGUCUCAGCAGGGGCUUGGGGACGGCCAUCUUGUUCCAGAGCCUGCCUCUGCCGCAGACUGACUGGGUGACAAGUUUCCUGUUUCCACGACUCAGGCUCCUCUUCAGGAAGAUGGGGACGAUACUGGUACUAAAGUAGAGCUUGUGUGAGGAUAUGCCUGUGUGUACGCACGUGGGUGUGCGUGUACACAUAUGCGUGUGUGUUGAGUGCACAUGCAUUUGUGCACAUGCAUACACACACCUAAGAGUGCCUGUCUGUAUUUGUGUGUAUACGUGUACACGUACAUAUGAAUGCACAAUCUCUGUGUGUGUAUGAAAUUUAGUACAUCACUUUUUUUUAAAGAAUUUUAUUUAUUUAUAUAUUUGAGAGAGAGCGUGAGCAAGAGAGCGCAGGGGGAGGAGCAGAGGGAGAGGGGCAAGCAGACUCCACAGUGAGCAUGGAGCCUGAUGCAGGGCUCCAUCCCAUGACUCUGAGAUCAUGACCGAGCCGAGAUCAACAGUCAGACACUUAACCAGCUGCUCCACUUAAGUGCCCAGAGUGCCUCGAUUCUAAGGUUAUUUCCUUGUGCGUACAUCUUUGCAGCCUGCCUUGCCCUGGGCCUGGGUCAUGUUUCUGAGAAAAUUUUAAAGUUGGACAUGAGAGCUGGUGCCCAGCUGGAAUUUGGACUGAGCCCUUUCCAGGCCCAUGCCUGGUACCCUCACUCUAGGAGCAGCUAGAGUGUCUCAAGGACCUAGCCUGUCCUUGAGAAGCAGAGUGUCAGCAGGUCCUGGUGAGAUAUGGACCCUCCUCAGCCCCAUCCCAGUCCUGCUUGCCCAGUUGCUCUGGGGUGAUCUGCCUGGGACCCACACUCUGCCGCUUCUGCUGGUGGCUUGUCCCCCGGCUACCACCUUCAUUCUCUGAUUCAGUCGCUUUCCUGUUUUCUUUCAGAAAAACCCAGUACUUUCUACUUACACACAGUUGGGAUCUUGGGAGGGUGAGGGGGUGAAGCAAAGCACAGGGCUGGUUUCAUAUUUGGAGUUUCAGUCCAAUUAAACUUUCCCACACCACCAAGGAAGAUGUGGUCUCCUUGCUUCACCUUUUCCAGGCUGAGCCAAGGUCAGGGUUAGCUCUGGGUGGCCAGACCACCCUGGGCCUCCAACCCUGCCUUUCGUAAUGAGCUGAUUCUCCCCAAGGUACAAUUCUGGGCAAUGUGACCCUGUUUCGUUGUUCCCUGAGUCUUCCCACUAGGGAGAAAAAAAACCAAAAAAACAAAAACAAAAAAACAACUGUCAUUUAUUGAAUAUAUAUGCUUUAUACAUAUGUUGCUGUAAUUAUUACCCUGCAGGAAAGAUACCAUUAUCCUGAAAGUAGGAAAUAAUAAACAAUUUCCAGAAGGAGCCAGCAUUUAAACCUUUGUCCACCUCACUGGAAAGCCUUUUCUCUUCCAUAUGGCAGAGGUGAGAUGUAUGUAGGUUUUUUAUUCAAGGCCAUAGGUCCUAAAUACUUCCCUUUAACAAAUGUCAACAAAAUUACACAGAGAAAGUGUCUCCAAUGUAAAAUGUACAGACUACCCUCGGGGUUACAAACACUGUGUUCCAGAAAGUCAGGAGCUGCCUUGGUGUUGGCCGAGUUGGAAGGCACAGAAGCGGGGAGGCUGGCCAGGGUGUGGUGACGGGGAGUCACACUGCUCACUGUCUUUCUCUGUGGAGUCUUUCUGUUGUAAACAUGUUUUCUUCCCCAUCCUUUGGCAUCCAUCAAGAUUGAAAUUCCAGGUUGUCAACCCUUGUAGGAAGGGGUUCAGAUCUUGGCAUUAAGUUAUUCCCGUCGUGUGUGCAGAGCUUUGCCACUAAAGAACGCUUCCCGAAACUUAACUGCUCCACACAGUGGCCCAGAGAGGACGUUGGCCUUGUGGACAAGAAAGACAAAGGCCAAGGGCCUCGAGUUGAGCCCAAACACCAGGCUGCUCCCAGCUCCCAGGAGUCCUCCGUCCAGUAGACUGUUAGCCGAGCGUAUGCGCAGUCACUGAGGCUGCUUCAUGUUCUGGGACAGGAUCUCUGCCUUCCCCAGGAUCUGAUGGUCCCUCUGCAAAUACGGUGGGACAUCCACCCCUGCGUGCACUGACGUGUUCACCUGACCAGCCCUCCCCAACGAAAUCGGGGCCCCGUCAGCCUCACGGACCUCCCUCUGCAGCGCACGCCCCAGAGCCUGGCGUGUGGCGGACUCUCCCCACGGAGGCGCCUGUUGAAUGAACACAUAGUCCUUCUGCUUUACCAAAGCCAAGCGGCUUUGGAGAAUUGAACUCCUGUCCGGCCACCAGCUGUCCUUCAUUUCUUCUCAUAAAUCACCGACACGAUUCCUGGCAGUGGUGGCCUCGGUCCGCAAACAGCCUUGUCCACAAUGUGCCCAACACGUUGGAAACCUUCUCUUCCCGCAGCUCGGGAUAGAGAACGCAGUCCUGGGGUAGAGUGUGAGAGAAACUGCCUCAGAGAUGUUAAGUAACUCAGCAGAGGUCACACAGCUAAGGGACACAGAGGAACCGUACCAAGCAGUGAAGGCCAUUUUUCAUCACUGCUGUCCUCCACGAGCUUACGUCUGGAAUGGGAGGCAUCUUUGCACUAAUUGAACGGGUUGGAUGGAGCCCAGAAACACUUGACACAGGUAGCAUUGACCCAGACAGAAGUGAAUCCUUGUGUCCAGUGACUAGAAGACACACGAACCUGGAAAAAGGAGCCCAGGGAGAUUGCUGUGUUUCCCCCACAUAGGAGAACACCCACCCCCUCCUGCCCCUCGCCCGUAACACAUGACACAUUUAGCAGUGAUUUGGUCACUGCUGAGCUAUCUUCAUUUAAUGUGAUUUUGGCAGAAGAGUUGGUCUGGAAAUUGUAUUUCAAUUAAACUUCCUGUUGA